GGUGGCAGACGCGCGCACCGCGCUUAGCCGUCUCCGCCCCUUUCCGAGCAGCCAAUCGCGGGAGAGACGCCGGACGCGCGCACGUUCCCCGGAGUUUAACGGUCGCUCGAGGCCGCUCGGCUGACCCUGACUUCGGCAGUGGGAGCGGCGGCCAGACUCUCAAGGAAGUUUAGGAUAUUUCACAGUUCUGAAUGUUAGCAACUGAAAAUGCCAGUAGACGAUGAAGCAUCUGAAGAUGACCCGGAUUCAGUUUCCUCAAACAGUGAAAAAGCCUAUAUUUUCAAAUAAGAGAGUAUAACAAUUUCUGUACACUAUGGAGGAUUUUGACUUGGUGAAAACCUUACAAAAAGCUUCAUCUGUAGAAUCUGAUAUCAAAAAUUCUCCCCAUUCUCUUGGAUUGAGCUUAAAUACUAAUAGAAGUAGUACAAAUGGGGUAUCCUCUUUCUCAGGGAAGACCACACCCUCUGCCAUUCAAGGUACAGCUGAGUUCCUAAACUCCUUAACGCAAGAGCUACAGAACAGUGGAAAGACUGACUCGGAACUUUGGAAAAACUGUGAGACUAGGUGGUUACAGCUGUUCUAUUUGGUGGAAAAACAAUGCCAAGAACAAAUAGUUGCUCAGCAAGAACAGUUCCACAACCAAAUUCAACGUAUACAGGAGGAGAUCAGAAAUUUAGUCAAAUUGCAGAUCAGUAAUGUUUCCUGGGCUUCCAGUGAUAAAAGUCCUUCAAGCAAACAAUUAUUUUCAGAAAGUCAGAUGGGUUUUUUUUCUGAAAAUAGUGAAAGAAAUGAAUCUGUUAUUAGUUAUCCCGAGCCUAAGGAGCCUGAGAUGCAACAAGAAAUGUCCACAUCACAGCCAGACUGCAAUGUGGACGGCAGCUCUGUGAGCAGUGGGUAUGGCACCUUUUGUAUCUCAGAAUUGAACACCUACAAAUCCAAGGACUCUGCAGAGCUCAUGGAGCACACAGGCCUUCCCAAGGGACAAUACCCAGCACCAGGAGUACAGACAGAUUCGCCUGUAGAUGGUGCAGGAAAUGGCAGUUUUUAUGCACAAUCUCCUGAAGAGUUUUGUGAAUCUUUAAAGGAAGAUAUUUCUAGUUUUCCUGAUGAAUUUGAACAUAAUUUUCUUGGUGAAAAUAAGAUUUCUGAAGUAUACAGUGGAAAAGCAGAUAGUAAAUCCAUAACAUCAUGGGCACAAAAGCUGAAGCAGAACCAAACCAAGAGAGCCCAUAUAGAGGAUGGAUGUUCAAAAUCUAAGCAGGGGAGUGAGCAUAGCAAGAGACCUCCCGCUAAGAAGUCUGAUUUUGCUGCUGCUGCUGCACACCCUCGUGCUUUUUACCUCUCUAAACCAGAUGAAGAUCCAAGCUCGUGGAUGUCUGAUUCAGGAACAGGACUGACCUAUUGGAAGCUGGAGGAGAAGGACAUGUAUCACUGUCUGCCUCAAUCUUUAGAGAAGACGUUUGUACCCUGCACCUUGGCAGAUGUGUCACCGAACCAGGUCCUUACUCUAGAUCCGACGUUGCAUAUGAAGCCAAAUCAGCAGACUUCGGGGAUUCAACCACAUGGCUUUUUGAAUGCUCUUGAUGACAGAAUAUCCUUUUCACCAGACUCUGUUCUGGAACCAGGCGUAUCUAGUCACUCUGACAUCGACUCAUUUUCACAAGCAAGCAAUAUCACUUCUCAGUUAUCCAGAUUUCCAAAAUAUCCUUCAAAUGCAAAAGCCUCAUCAAUGGACUCUUGGAAGAAUCAUGCAUUCCAAAGUGAAAGUAGGACCAGUUCCACAUUUCCUUCAGUGUACACUAUGACUAGUAACAAUAUCUCAGUCAACACUGUAGAUGAAGAGAACACUGUCAUGGUAGCGUCAGCCUCGGUCAGUCAGGCCCAGCUUCCAGAUGCAGCCAACAGUGUCCCAGAAUGCAUUUCAUUGACUUCCCUGGAAGAUCCCGUGAUAUUGUCUAACAGGAUUAGGCAGAAUCUGAAGGAGAAGCAUGCUCGGCACAUAGCUGAUCUUCGAACUUAUUAUGAGUCAGAAAUAAAUAGUUUGAAACAGAAGCUGGAGGCAAAAGAAAUUUCUGCAGUUGAAGAGUGGAAGAAAACCAAUCAAAUUCUUGUAGACAGUUUCGGUGGACACAACAUCUUUAUUUUAUUUUUAUGUGGUGCUGAGGAUCGAACCCAGAGCCCUGCGAAUGCCAGAUGUGGCCAGUUAGAUAGUGCUUUGAAUGAAGCUACUGGUCGUGUGAGAACUCUUGAAAGUAAGAAUAACAUGUUGGAAAUAGAAGUGAAUGAUUUGAGAGAACGCUUUAGUGCAGCCAACAGUGCCUCCAAAAUUUUGCAGGAACGAAUUGAAGAAAUGAGAACAAGCAAUAAAGAAAAAGACAAUACCAUCAUUCGACUAAAAUCUAGGCUGCAGGAUUUAGAAGAAGCAUUUGAGAAUGCUUACAAACUUUCAGAUGAUAAAGAAGCAAGACUAAAACAAGAAAACAAAAUGUUUCAAGAUCUCUUAGGAGAGUAUGAGUCCCUUGGAAAAGAACACAGACGAGUAAAGGAUACAUUAAAUAUAACUGAGAAUAAACUUCUUGAUGCACAUACUCAGAUUUCUGAUUUGAAAAGGACAAUCUCAAAACUUGAAGCUCAAGUGAAGCAAGUAGAGCAUGAAAAUAUGUUAAGUCUUCGUCAUAAUUCUAAAACUCAUGUGAGACCCUCACGUGCCAACACGCUGGCAACCUCAGAUGUCAGCAGGCGGAAGUGGCUGAUACCAGGCGCAGAGUAUUCCAUCUUCACUGGCCAGCCUCUGGACAUCCAGGACAGGAAGGUGGAUAAUCAGCUGGAGGGAACCUAUGUUCCUGGGUAUUAUUCUCCUCCUGAAAAGGAUUCUUCUCCUGGAAGUUCACCAACAAGCUUCUUGAUUAAAAAACAAAGAGAGACUUCAGACACACCGAUCAUGAAAGCAUUAAAAGAACUUGAUGAAGAAAAGAUACUUAAAAAUUGGGGGACACAGACAGAGAAAGAGGAUACCUCAAGUAAAUUAGUGAAUUCUCGGCAAACUGAAUCUUCAGUCAAUGCAAAUCCUUCCCCAGAGAAAUGUGCUCAGCAGAGACAAAAGAGACAGAAUUCUGCUUCACAGAGAUCAUCAUCUUUACCACCUUCAAAUCGUAAAUCCAGUACUCCAACAAAAAGAGAGAUUAUGUUAACACCAGUGACUGUGGCUUAUAGUCCAAAGCGAUCCCCUAAAGAAAAUUUAUCUCCGGGAUUUAGUCAUCUACUUAGCAAAAACGAAAGCAAUCCAAUUAGAUUUGAUAUGCUUUUGGAUGAUUUAGAUACUGUUCCUGUGUCCACAUUACAACGAAAUAAUCCAAGAAAACAGCUCCAGUUUGUUCCUCUAGACGACUCAAAAGAAAAAAUAUAUUUAGAAAAUGCCACUGACAACCAUGGUAAUCAUAACUCUUGCUCUGAAUCCUUGCCAAAUGGAAUGAAGAAAGCAUCUGUGAGAUCGGCCUGGGAGAAGAAUAAGUCAGUUAGCUAUGAACAGUGUAAGCCUGUUUCAGUAACACCACAGGGUAAUGAUUUUGAGUAUACGGCAAAAAUUAGGACCCUAGCUGAAACGGAACGAUUUUUUGAUGAACUUACAAAAGAAAAGGACCAGAUUGAGGCAGCACUAAACCGAAUGCCUUCUCCUGGAGGAAGAAUCACUCUGCAGACAAGAUUAAAUCAGGACUGAACCCAGGGCUCUUAUCACUCUGGCUUUGAACUUGCGAUCCUCCCGAGCUGCUGGGAUUACAGGCAUCCUUGGAAGAUCGUUUGGAAAGGAUCAACCGAGAACUGGGCUCGGUUCGCAUGACACUAAAAAAGUUCCAUGUUUUGCGCACCUCUGCAAAUCUUUGAGAUUUGUAGCCAUUAAAUUUUGAGACAUUUUGUUUGCACUAAUGUAUAAUUAUGCACUCAGAAGAGGCGAGCUAUUUUGUACUGUUUCUAAGCCUUCAAACAGUAGUUUUACAAUCAUGCUAUUCUUACACCUGCUAUUUUAUACUUCAGAUGGCCACAUAUUUUCAAGAUAUUUUUGUUAUGCUCAGGAAUCUCUUGUAUAUUUUACUAUUUAAAAAGCAUUAUUUUUAAAUAGUAUAUCUUCAAUUUAUAUAGAGAAUAAGGAAAUGUAAACAGGGCAGGCUGCUUGUUUCUAAACAAAUAGUGUUGUCCUUUUACAAUGAACUUUGCACACCAGUUUUAUAAACUUGUUCUACAUUGUAAAUAUAACUCAUUUUUUUAUAAAAAUAAAUGCUUAACAGCUUCCAUAAUGACAGACUAACACAUGCUGAAUACAUUUUAGCAUACCUUUCAGUGGUGUGGAGGUUUAUAAAAAAUGAUGAUACAAGUCCUAUUGGAAACAUGUUUUAAAGUAACUAUCAGAUAGUAAUACUGGAUUAUUGGAAAGUUUUGAAGGCUCCAUAAAUUUUAGUCAUUUUAUUUCCCUAAAACCUUAUUGUUUAUAAGGAAAUAAAUAAACAGAGGGAUGUAAUUCUCUAAUUUUGUCUCAUAUAUAGUACUUUGAAAAAGCAAUUGGAGAGCUGUAGGCCUCUGCUCCCCAUUCUAAUCUGACUUGUAUCCCCUGGACAAGAAAGGCAUGGGUAAAGCCUUGAUGAGACACAGGGACAUACCCUAGCCAUCUGUGUCACCCCACGAGGAGCCAGUGGGACCCUGGUUUCCUUACAGCAGGUGACUUCGGGUGCCAGUCAGUUAUCUUCCAGGCCUUUUCACCCCUCUCCACCUCCUCCACCCGUGCCAGAAGGAAAAGCAAAUACUCCAGUUGUCUGUGCUUCAAGAUCCCAAGGUUUGGACCAGUGCUCUGCCUGUUUGUGGACAGGGAAUGUGUCAACAGAGCCUGCUGCCGUUCCUUGACCUGGCUAGAGGGCUGCGGCCCCGUCUGGGCAGUGCUUCCUGGUUCAGAAGCAGCCUGUGGGCAGCAGCAGGUUAGGAUGGCACUGCUUAACCUCCAAAGUUUUUGCUGGCCAGUCAGACCUAGUGCCCACACAUUCAAGCUCAGCAUGAGUUGGUAAAUAGACUGAUUAGACACAGGGACAUAUAUUUAGUUGGUAAACAGAACUGAUUCCCACUGGCAGUGCUCAGGUUCUAAAUCCUGGUUUGCUUUUGAGCUUUUUUCCCCCCUUAUGUGGCUCUUAAAAUAUGUACAGUGCACCAGUUCCACUCAAUGACUCCUCAAGGUAUGCAUGCCUUCCUGCAGGAUCUCCAGUGGUUGUUGAGCACCUUUCACCCCACAUCACCUGUCUGAUCUCCAGGGCUAGGCCCACAUCCCUGCUCCCUUCUCCCUGUGGGGAUUCUUAGCCAGGAAGAAAGACCCUUGGGAUGGAGCAGUUGAACUUUUCAGCUUCUGCAACCAGUUGAAGACUUUGAGCUAAUAAGAAUUACUUAUCAACAGAAUCAAGUGCCUUCCUUCUUGAUUUUGUCUUCUAGCCCCCCACCCCAAACUUCUAGUUAGUAGUAAAGAAGAAGUUCAUUUUAACAGCUUGGGUGUAAACCUAGUAAAGGUGUUGGCUUUACUGGUGAUAUUCCCUUUAGUGUGUGUGUAUAUAUGACAUUCAAAACUAACUAAAACAGGUGCAGUGGUGCAUGCUUGUAAUCCCAGCAGCAUGGGAGGCUGAGACAUGAGGAUUGCAAAGUGCAAAGCCAGCCUCAGCAAUUUAGUGAGACACUAAAGCAAUUUAGUGAGACUCUGCCUCAAAAUAUAUAUAAAUAAAAAAAGGGCUGGGGAUGUGGCUCAGUGUUUAAACACCCCUGGCUUCAUUCCCUUGUAUCUCCCCACCACACACACUCAAAAAAAUAAAAAAUUGGUAGAAUAUUUCAUUGUCCCCUACUUUAAAAAAAAAUUGUUGUUGUUGUUGAUGGAUAUUUAUUUACAUGUGGUGCUGAGGAUUGAACCCAGUUCCUCACACAUGCUAGGAAAGCAUUCUACCACUGAGCCACAACCCAAACCCUGUCCCCUACUUUUAUUGUAAAGACUACUACAUUCUUAAGAGUAGGGAAGUUGUCAUUUCUUGCCAAGGAGUUAUCUUCUGAGUAGCCUGUAAUUGGCUUAUUCCAAAAAAGGCAUUAAGCUCCAUCAAAACAUCUUCUGUGCCUCUCCGAAAGCAUAUGCUUUCAUUUUUGAAGUGUGUAAUAGAUUGGAACUAUCAGUUACUUAUUUAAAAAAAAAAAGAAAUUUGAUUCUUUUUUUUUUUCAUAGUUGUAAAGAAGGGACCCCAGGGAAAUUCUUAUAGCUGUCUUUCCCUAGGUGAUGCAUAUCUUAGGAAUGCUCCAGGGGAACACACGUGGGCCUGAGGUGGGAAAGGUGGCAGUCUUAAAGAGCAUCCAUUAUUACCCCAGGGAGGUAAACUAUUUUUGUUGCUGGGGCUGUGUUUCAGUUAGUGAAAAACCAAAGUGAACCUUCCACUUCUGGGAAGUGCCUUCUAAAAUGCAAAUGGCAAGUCACCUCUCCUGAGGUCCAGUUUUGCCCUUUUCUUCCCCAUACAGAGCCUAUCCGCAGGAGCCAGCAGUGGCUCCUGGCCACAUCUCCAGCUGGAGCUGGAGCGACUAUAACUCACAGCCAAGCUGAGGCAGUGCACAGCUGGGCACAGGGGUUGGAGAGGGGAGACUUCGAGCCAGGCAGACCAGGGUCACAUCCUGGCUCAGGUCUGCUUUCCCCAGCUGUGAUAGGAUCCCUUUCAUUAAUGAAGAUUCUGUCAAGUGCCUGGUGCUUAAUAAGUGUGCAUAAAUAAUACCUUCAGAUUCAGUAUGAGUUAAGUGGGCUUUUAAGGUAACAGUUGCUUUUGCUUUUUUUUUUUCCCCCUCUGUGAUACUAGGAAUUGAACUCAGUGCCUCACACGUGCUAGGCAAGUGCUCUAACACUGAGCCACAACCACAAGCCAAAAAAGGUUUUUUUGUUUUGUUUUGUGAUAUUGGGGAUUAAACCAGUUGGUUCUCUACAACUGAGCUACAUCCCACCCAGCCCUUUUUACUUUGUUUUGAGGCAGGGUCUCUAAAUUGCUCAGUCUGGCCUCCAACUUUCAAUCCUCCUGCCUCAGCCUCCUGAGUCACUAGGAUUACAGGUGAACUCCACCAUUUCUUUUAAAUAGGAUUAUAUCCAAAGCAAUUGGCUUAAAAAAAAAAUACAUCUUCGGUUGGCAUUUCUGUUGGGGGUCUAAGAUGGUCUUGCUCCUUGAAAAGAAAGUGAGAAAGCGAGAGAAGGGCAAGUAAGAAAUCGAGUAAGAAAUGAAGGGAAGAGACCAGGCAGAGAUCCACACAAAGGUUUAUUUCUCAAAGCUGACAAAUAAAGGUCGUCUUUCUAUAGAGAGGAGAGAGGCCCCGAGAUGUUUGGGCGUUCAGCUUUUGUGGGGUAGGGGUUUGGAGUUGGAGCUAUGGCACUGUGGGAUAGGUUCAGGGUGUCUGAGCUAGGCAGGUGGGAAUGGCAUGGGAUUGGAUUAGGUUGACGGCAUCAUGGGGCUUUCCAGAGAAAAGGGGUCGUGUCCUUCUGAGAUUGGCUUAGGGUUAUGGUACCAUGGGGUAGGUCACUACCUAGGGGGUGGGGGUGGGGAGUUCAGGUAAGAGGAAGUACAGGAAAGUGAAACUUAAUAUCUUGUAGGAUGGCAGUUAACAUUUAAAAUGGCUGCUUAAUGUUAAAUCAAGACCCUAUACCCUUUGCAUGAAAACGUGGGUUUUCUUGGAGUCUAAAGGAACGUUCCUCUGGUGUGGGUUUUGUUGUUCUUAAUGACUAAAAAAUUUAAAAUGGAUAACCUAUCAAAUGUUAGUUCAGACAGUACUUUCAUCUUAAUAAAAUUGGUGAUUUGGGAAUUUAGAAAUAAAUACAGACUGUUUUCCUAAAAGUUAUUGCCACUGCAAUAAAAAUAACUUUUCCUUCAAGUGUUCCACGAGUAGACCUCUACAGGUGAUGGGGUGGCCUUGAACAGGACCAUGUGAAGGAAGUACCAGCCACUGGGCCCCUAAAGAUUUAGAAAUGGGGGCUGGGGAUGUGGCUCAAGUGAUAGCUCGCUCGCCUAGCAUGCACCACAUAAAUGUAAAAUAAAGAUAUUGUGUCCACCUUAAAAAAAUUUAGAGAUGACCACUUGGAAAUUGAUAACCAACCAGAGAGUGUUUGCCUUUUAAAUCCAGGAAAGCCAGGUGAUUUGGUGAAUGCUGUUUGAAUUCGGAACAUUUUAUUACAUGCAUAGAUGAAAGGUUUAUAUGUAAUAAAAUGAAAGGUUUAUAUGUAAUAAAAUUAGACAUUUCAUCCUUUUAAUUUUUAAAUAAUAACAGUUUUUACUAAAUUUUAAUGUUUAUUUGCUCUGCAUGUCUGAGAACCAAGCUUUAAAAAAUAAAUGUAGCUGGGUGUAGUGGCUCACACCUGUAGUCCCAGCUACUUGGAAGGUGGGAGGAUCACUUGAGUCCAGGAGUUCAAGACCAGCCUGGGCAACAUAGUGAAACUCAGUCUCAAAAAAAAAAAAAAAGCUGGGUAUAGUGGUGCACACCUGUAAUCCCAGCAGCUGGGGAGGCUGAGGCAGGAGGCUCACACAUUCAAAGCCAGCCUCAGCAACUUAAUGAGAUCUUGUCUCUAAAUAAAAUAUGAAAAGGGCUUGGGAUAUUAACUCAGUGGCUAAGUGCCCCUGGGUUCAAUCCCCGGUACUAAAAAACAAUAAUAAAAUAAUUAAUUAAUUAAAAAUAGAUGUACAUCUAGAGCCCUUUAGGAAUCAUAAAGGUAAAUCAUAUUUGUCAUAAGUAAAAUAUAUCUGGUUAUGAGACUUUUUGGGUCUCACUAUACUGAUUAUAUUGCACAAUUUUGCUGGAAAUAAUUUCCUGCCCUGUCAAGAGCUCUGGUUUGAUAAUGUAUUAAAAGAUACCAGUAUUCUUAGGACCUGUUUCUAAGCCUUUUCUCAUCUGAUUUGUGCUUUAUCUCAGUAGAGACCUCAGCUCUAUGAGGAAUCAAGCCAUAAAUUUGUACUUGCUGGACGUUGUGUACCAUGUUGUCACUAUGACUACAGAUUUUAAGGACAAUUGUGUAUUUAACAAUUUCACUGUAACAGUGACCAAUAAUGUGAAAAAAAUGCUUCACAUAUAGUGCUCUGAUGGGUAGAAAAUGACAGUGCUUGUUGCAGUUGCUUUAAAUCUAGUCAAAUGUUGGAGUAAUGAGUCAUCAAGCUCCACGAGACCAGGAAUCAUGUCGUCUUUCUCAAAUAUGGCACAUAUGGACAUUUAAUAAAUAUUUGUGGAUGUGAA